UACGUAGGGCGCGAGCGUUGUCCGGAAUUAUUGGGCGUAAAGAGCUCGUAGGCGGUGCGACACGUCGUUCGUGAAAACCUGCAGCUUAACUGUGGGCGUGCGGUCGAUACGGGCAUCACUGGAGUUCGGCAGGGGAGACUGGAAUUCCUGGUGUAGCGGUGAAAUGCGCAGAUAUCAGGAGGAACACCGGUGGCGAAGGCGGGUCUCUGGGCCGAUACUGACGCUGAGGCGCGAAAGCGUGGGGAGCGAACAGG
rnacentral:rRNA from 1 species